UCUUCCCCAAUUCAGCAGAAGCACCACUGAAAACACAACAGGGGAGAGGAGAAGAGAAAAUUUCCCUAACCCUUACGUUAAUUUCAAAUCAUCGUAUCUCCUCCGUCCGAGUUCCGACCGCCGCACCGUUUGCGGCCACGCGACCACGGCGUUGAGCUCUACGUUUCUACCGGAAAAAUUUUAUAGUAUCCAAUUAGCUUGAAGAAAACGUUUACUCUUGCUUAUACGAAAUUUGGGUAAGGUUGUGAAUAAAUAAUUGGAGCUUGAAAUUGUGGGUAUUGGAACUUGGAGGAAGCUGAACGCUAUUGUUUUAUUGAAGUUUUUGGGGAUGUGUUUGUUUUAGUAAGCUGCCUUGAUUACUACGAGAAAAUCGGCUAAGGUCGAGAGGCACCUCGUUAGGUGUCUGGACUUCUGAAACGAAGUGGUUAUCGGGUUACUUAUUAAUUGUAUAGUCAUGUAUAUAUAUGUACUUAGUUUUCUCUCCGCAUGACUUGUUCCUUUUGACCCUCUGAGAGGCUUAUGGAGAGACAGGAUUUUGUUUAUGUAAAUUUGGGUUUUGGAUAUGUAUAUAUAUGUGUGUAAAUAUUCUCCGGCCAGCUUUGACUUCGCGGGCUGAGUUAGGAGCUUGUUAUUUUGUAUCUUUGGCCUGCUAUUCCUACUUUUGUUA